AGCGAACGCUGGCGGCAGGCCUAAGACAUGCAAGUCGAACGAACCUUUCGGGGUUAGUGGCGGACGGGUGAGUAACACGUGGGAACGUGCCUUUAGGUUCGGAAUAACUCAGGGAAACUUGUGCUAAUACCGAAUGUGCCCUUCGGGGGAAAGAUUAAUCGCCUUUAGAGCGGCCCGCGUCUGAUUAGCUAGUUGGUUGAGGUAAUGGCUCACCAAGGCGACGAUCAGUAGCUGGUCUGAGAGGAUGAUCAGCCACAUUGGGACUGAGACACGGCCCAAACUCCUACGGGAGGCAGCAGUGGGGAAUCUUGCGCAAUGGGCGAAAGCCUGACGCAGCCAUGCCGCGUGAAUGAUGAAGGUCUUAGGAUUGUAAAAUUCUUUCACCGGGGACGAUAAUGACGGUACCCGGAGAAGAAGCCCCGGCUAACUUCGUG
rnacentral:rRNA from 1 species